rnacentral:rRNA from 1 species
GACGAACGCUGGCGGCGUGCCUAAUACAUGCAAGUCGAGCGAGCGGCGGAUGGGUGAGUAACGCGUGGGAACCUGCCUUUAAGUCUGGGAUACCAUUUGGAAACAGGUGCUAAUACCGCAUAAUGAUGGAUGGACCCGCGGUGGAUUAGCUAGUUGGUGAGGUAACGGCUCACCAAGGCCACGAUGCCUAGCCGGCCUGAGAGGAUGACCAGCCACACUGGAACUGAGACACGGCCCAGACUCCUACGGGAGGCAGCAGUGGGGAAUAUUGCACAAUGGGCGCAAGCCUGAUGCAGCCAUGCCGCGUGUAUGAAGAAGGCCUUCGGGUUGUAAAGUACUUUCAGCGAGGAGGCGUUACUCGCAGAAGAAGCACCGGCUAACUCCGUGCCAGCCGCCGCGGUAAUUC